rnacentral:rRNA from 1 species
CAGGCCUAACACAUGCAAGUCGAACGAUAAAUCGGGCACUCAGGCAACUGAGUGCCGGUACUCGUCAAGUGGCGCACGGGUGUAGUCACACGUGGGUAACCUACCCCCGAAUCUGGGAUAACCUCGCGUAAAGCGUUGCUAAUACCGGAUAUUGUCCUAUUGGUUUUGGCCUUUGGGAUGAAAGGCAACCUCUUCAUGAAAGUCGUCGUUCAAGGAUGGGCCCGCGUACCAUUAGCUUGUUGGUGGGGUAACGGCUUACCAAGGCUACGAUGGUUAGCUGGUCUGAGAGGAUGAUCAGCCACACUGGAACUGAAACACGGUCCAGACUCCUACGGGAGGCAGCAGUGAGGAAUUUUGCGCAAUGGGGGAAACCCUGACGCAGCAACGCCGCGUGAGUGAAGAAGGCUUUCGGGUCGUAAAGCUCUGUCAAGUGGGAAAAAAAUCUGAUGAUUAAUAGUUGUCAGAUCUGAUGGUACCACUGGAGGAAGCACCGGCUAACUCCGUGCCAGCAGCCGCGGUAAU